ACUGUGUGUAAAGCUGAAUCUUUUUCAUAAUGCAGGUCUUGAAUCAGCAGUUAUUGAGUUUAUCAGAUUUUUCUUUCUUCGUCAGAGUUAUGUGUUCGACAGCUCUGACAAAGAGGAAAAAACGGAUGAUGUUCCUGCCAAACAGGCUUCUGGCAGCAAACCGGUAUGUGUGCUUGUCUUUGUAUCUUUCUGUGGACAGACUUUGUCUUUAAACCAGUUUUGUGAAGACAUUUUGGCUGGCUCUCUCAACGGACUGUCCAAGGACUGUUGGAAAGUUUUAAGGUUAUGGUCAGAAUCGAGUUUAGAUCAGGGUAAGACAUUUAGUUCUGACAGUAACAGUUAGGGUAAGGCAAUGCAUUAUGUCAUUGAAUGUCUUCACUAGUAAUGCAGAGACUGUGUGUGUGUGGGUGUGUGUGUGUGUUUUCCACUGAUGAUCAGCUGGUUUGUGACAUGUGACUAUGAUCUAACAGGGUGGUCUGAAGGGAGUAAUGAAAGGGUUGCAAUUCAAGUCAUCACCAAAGGCCAGCAGAGAGCCGAGUCCAGACCCGAGCGCAGAGGAAGCAGCCUCCGAAAAGGAACAGUUCAUAGAAAAAAACAAGCAGGAGAAGAAUGCGAAACCCAAAGAGGACAUAGGAGGUCUGAUCGCUGGAAUGUUCCGGAAAACUCCCAGAGAGAAAUCAUCGUCUCCAGCAGUGACGGUAACAUCGACUCUUCUGCUCCUUUUCUGAGCGUUAACUUCCACUGUCAGAGUCUUGUUGCCUCUAACAAUUGUUGUGUUGUUUGCCAGGUCAAUAAAGCUGACAGCGAUCCUGAAGAUACAGAAGACGCAGAUGAGAAGAGUUCCGAACAAUCCCAAGAAAAGGGAGGCUUGUUCUCUGGCAUCCUUAAGAAACACAAUAAAACAGCAGAUGAGGCACCUGCGCAGGACAGUCUGAGUGUUAACAGUGAGCUGUCUGCCAGCAGCGACAGUCUGUCUGAAAAUAACAGCAACAAGGAAAAAGGAGGAAUAUUCAGCGGGAUGUUCAAGAAGUCUCCGAAAUCAACAGAAGCUGCUCAGGCUGAUGAGGACCAACAGUCUCUACAAGAUAAUCUGUCAGGCAGUAAUGAUAAUCUGUCUGAAAACACAAAGGAGAAAGGAGGUAUUUUCAGUGGGAUUCUCCGAAAGUCUCCCAAGCUUCCAGGAGAGGGAACACCGGGACAGGAUAAACAGUCGCUGCAAACUGACCCGUCAGACAGUAAUGAGACUAAUGAGAACAGCACCACUAAAGAGAAAGGAGGAGGAAGUGUUUUCAGUGGGAUGUUCAAGAAAUCUCCCAAACUGUCCGAGGCCCCCCGACUGAAGGAGGGAGCAGAGACGUUACACAGUGAGCUCUCUGCCAGCACUGACAGCCUGUCGGAGAACAAGGAAAAAGGCGGUUUGUUCAGCGGACUCCUCAGAAAGACUCCAAAAACGACCGUAGAGGAGAAUCUUUCGGCACAGAAAGAUCUUUCAGCCAGCAAUGACAGUCUGUCCGAGACCGCCAACGCCAAGGAGAAAGGAGGUGCGUUCAGUGGAAUAUUCAAGAAGUCGUCCAGACUUGCAGACGGUCCUCCCACUGAAGACGAAAUGCAAUCACAAGACGAUGAGCUCUCAGGAAGCACUGAAGCUCUGUCUGAGAACAACACAAAGGAAAAAGGAGGAAUUUUUGCUGGAAUGUUCAAGAAAGUCCCCAAACCUGCAGAAGCUGCUCAGCCUGAAGAGGACGAGUCUGCUGACAAAGAGCUCUCAGCCAGCAAUGAGAAUUUAUCAGAGAGCAAACAGGAGAAAGGUGGAGGUUUUUUUAGAGGCCUCAACAAAAAGACUCCAAAAGCGUCUGCAGAAAAGACACAGUCGGAGGCAGAGGCUCAGAAAGAGCUGUCUGCCAGCAACGACGACCUGUCUGAGAAUAACACCACUAAGGAGAAAAACAUUUUCAGCAACAUGUUUAAGAAGCCACAGAAACCAGCAGAGGGCGCUGCAGCAGAGAAGGAGCUGGAGGUGAACAGUGAAAGUCAGAUAUCUGGUAGUUGUGAGAAUCUGUCUGACACCCCAAAGGAGAAAAAAGGAGGCCUGGCUGGCAUCUUCAAAAGAUCAGGCAGCAUCGACAACCUGUUUGAUGAGGAAAAAGGUGGGCUGUUCAGUGGACUUCGUAAGAAAACACCCAAAGCGUCUGGAGAUGAGGCGGCUGUAGAGGACAAAGACGAUCAGAUGGAGCUGACGGCGAGUAAUGACAGUCUGUCAGAAACCAACAACACUAAGGAGAAAAGUAUUUUUAGUGGCAUGUUUAAGAAGACUCAGAAACCAAAAGAGGGGGCUACAACAGAUGAGGAGUUAAACAGGGAUGAGGAUAAUAUGUUAUCUGGCAGUUGUGAAAAUCUCUUAGAAGCAACCACAUCAAAGGAGAAGAGUGGAGGACUGGCAGGGAUCUUCAGAAAGUCUCCUAAACCAGCUCAUCGAUUGAUCACUACAGAGGAUCCCCUCACUGCCUCUAAGGAACUGUCCGCCAGCUGCGACAGCCUCGCAGAAACUGCUGAGGAUGACCUUCCUCAAUUGUCGGCCAGCACAGAUGAUCUUUUAGAAGCUUCAAGCGCCACGAAGGAGAGAAAAGGAGGGUUCGCUGGAAUCUUUAGAAGAACGCCCAAAACAAUUGAACAUCAAGAAAGUGCAGACAUGGAGGCUCCACAAGGAGGCGGGCUGAGACGCAGGAGAACCAUCAAGAAAAAAAGACGAGUUACUUCAUUCCGAAUCAAGAAAACUCUUCCCAAAGUACCCAAACUUAAUCUGACAUCUCAGAGUUCAGAUAAGAUGCCUAUUAUUGAGGAGGCUGUUGAGCUGCAGGAGCUGAACCCAGCACAGGUAAACAUGACGAUAUUAUUAAGUAAGAGUGUGUGUGUGUGUGUGUGUGUGUGUGUGUGUGUGUGUGUGUGUGUGUGUGUGUGUGUGCUAACUAACUAA
rnacentral:lncRNA from 1 species